GUCUUCUUAAAUCCGCAUUUCUUUCGUCUUUUCGUCUACUCAAAGCUGGAGAGGAAAUCGAAAUCCCGAGCCUAGGGUUUUUGAACAUACUGUAGUAUGAAAUAUCUGUGUCUCUGAAUCUAUCAAUCCACUGCGGACUUCAAAUCCUUCACUUCUUAAGGGGUCGUCAGUUGGAAAGUUUAUCCGAUAGUUUCCUCACAGGAACAUAUUUUUAAUAACCAUAUCUUAAGAAAGAAAAGAUGUCUGGAAGAAAUCGAGGACCCCCUCUUCCAUUGAAAGGAGCUCCUCAUGCUGGAUUGCCCCCUGCAGUUCGUGAAGUGCCAUUUGGCAGGGGGGUUGGGCCAAUGCCCCAUCCAGCUCUACUUGAGGAGAUGAGAGAAUCCCAUUUCGGAAUGGGUCCCAGGCCGCUUCCUCCUCAUCCUGCAAUAAUUCAGGAGGGUCUUGAUGCUCAGUAUCAAGAAAUUCAGGGUCUCUUAGUCGAUAACCAGAGGCUAGCUGCCACCCAUGUUGCCCUUAAGCAGGAACUGGAAGCCACCCAGCAUGAGUUGCAAAGAAUGGGUCACUUUGCAGACUCCUUGCGGGCGGAGAAGGACGGUCAGAUGAGAGAAUUGUAUGAGAAGUCUGUUCAUUUGGAGGUGGAUCUUCGUGGGGUUGAGGCUAUGCGUGCUGAGCUUAUUCAAGUUCGUGUUGAUAUUAAAGAGCUGAGUGUCGCAAGGCAGGAGCUGACAGGUCAGGUACAAGCGAUGACACAAGAUUUGGCUAGACUUACAGCAGAUUUGCAACAGGCGCCAGCAUUACGGGCAGAAAUUGAGUCUAUGAAGCAGGAGUUGCAACGUGCAAAAGCGGCCAUUGAGUAUGAGAAGAAAGGAUAUGCAGACAAUUAUGAGCAUGGUCAAGUGAUGGAGAAGAAGCUGCUCUCAAUGGCUCGAGAAUUGGAGAAGCUUCGUGCAGAGAUUGCUAAUGCAGAGAAGAGAGCUCGUGCUGCUGCUGCUGUUGGGAACCCAGGGACAGGCUACAACGUGAAUUAUGGCAAUCCUGAGGCAGGUUAUGCAGGAAAUCUUUAUCCUGCUAACUAUGGCAUGAAUCCUGUACAGGCAGGUGCAGAAAAUUUCCCCCAUUAUGGACCUGGUCCUGCUUCCUGGAGUGCCUAUGAAAUGCAACGAGCUCAAGGACACAGAUAGACUUUUGUCACUAUCACACCAAGCUGUGUUAGAACUGCACGGAAGCUAUUUGAACGAUAUUGCAAAAUGUUCCUUGCACCAAAUGGAAACUCCCUCUCUUAUACAUAGGGGAUGGAGAGUGGGGUAUGACUUUAAUUCUGUACGGGUGGGUGAAUUGUAUAUUACUUAUAAAUUGUUUGAGAAAAAUCUAUUUGAAUUAAAAUCUGAAUUGUUUGAAUUUACUUGCUGUUUUGAUAGGUAAAUUUUGACUGAUGGAGUUGUUUCUUGUGGUACUUUUUUUCCCCAAUAACCUUGCACAACAUAGCUGUUGCUAUGUUUAUUUCUUUUUUCCUGCCAGUUUCUCUAGCCUUUUUUUUUAAUCAAAAUUAGGAGCAAGGACUAUGCAAACAUAUUUUCAAUAACAAGUAAGGUGAAAUGAAGUGGUGAAGAAUAGAUAUAGUCUUUAAGGGAAAUGAAUCUUCUAAAGCGAGAUUAGGCAUUAUUUAUUAGAAGGAAUAACCAUUAUUUGUAAAAUGCUAAUUCUGAGGUUAGAAUGUGAGGUGCUUGUUGAAGUUGAGUUCUGAGUUAUACUCCCAUUUAAAUAAUUACAAGCAACCUUGACUCCCAGUGAGUCAGAAAUUUCUAAGACAAGAACUUCUAUAGUGAACAGCAUUGUCAGUUGUUUUGUUGCUGAAAAUAGUGCUUCCAACUAUGGAAUCUUGAGUUUAGACAUUCUGGUUUAUGGAGAAAUUGUUGGGGGUUUUAACAAAUAGGCCCAAUGGCAUGUAUGACCUCUUCUAUGGGAUAUUUUUUGCAAGUAUGCUAACUAGGGGAUGUUUGGGGAAUGAGAUGAGAUGAGAAAUCUAUGAAUAGUAGUGAAAAUGGUUUAUGAAUAGUAGUGAAAAGGUUUGCGUUAUGAUGUUUUAUGGGAUUUUGGAAAAAGAGAGAAAAAGUUGAAUAAAAAUAUUAUAAAGUUAAAAUAUUGUUAGAAUAUAAGUUUUUAAUAUUAUUUUUGUUUUGGGAUUUGAAAAAGUUGAAAUGUUUUUUGCUUUUUGUUUGGAAGUUUAGGAAAUUUAUAAGGUUGGGUAAUGAUUAGAUCAAAAAAGGUUAAAGAUUUGAAAUUGAAAAGUGUUUGUGUUUGAAUGAUAUUUGUGAAGGAGAUGAGAUGAGAUGAGUUGUCAUGAGAUAAGAUGGGGUGGGAUGAGAUGAGAUGAAAUCAUCCCAUCUUCCAAACAAGCCCUAAUUGGGUCUUCUUUUUCUGCCCUGGGUGAAAGAUCUUUGAAGCAGUUAUUUUCAUGUAGACCUCAAUUUAACUUUUUCUCGCAUGAAGAUCUAAUUACUUAUCUAAAACUUAUCCUUAAGUCCAGUGCGUUGUCUUGACAUUGUUUUACCCCUUGUGAACUUUAAGGUAUAUUUUACUUAUAAAAAAAAGGAACUUUAAAGUAUAUGUGUUUGACCAUAUUGCUUAUCAAAAAAUAAAAAAUAUUUGUUUGACCAUAUUGAAUUGAUUUUUUUUUUUUUUGUGGGUAAACAUAUUGAAUUAAAUUUAGUGAGCUUUAUUUAGGAGUACGUUUCUCAGAUAUUAACAAGUUAUUCCAUGAUUUCUCCUUUUAGUUGAGUGGCAGUAAUAAAUUUUGAAUAUUUUCAGUAUUUUGGUCUAGUCAUACUUGAGUAGUGAUUUUAAUAAGUUUGGUACCAUGUCCUUUCAUUUUUGGAGUUCUGUUUCCUUUUGUUGUUUGCCAUAUGUAGGAUUAUUUUUCUUGCAUGGUCUGCAACAUAUUUUUGUGUGCGCUUGACAGUUGACACACAUAUUUUUAUUUCCAGGUUUUCAACGUGCUGUCUCUAAAAUUCUUCUGCUUCUGCCAUCCGUCAAUCCAUGAGGUUGUUAUCCUGUAAAGUGGCACAAGCUAGAAACCCGAGCUGUUUCAUUCCCUGUGCCAAACCCCACCUAGCCUUUAUAGGGGCUGCCCGAGAUCAGUGGCCUGGCUAGAUCAGACUGGUGUAUAGAAUCGUGUCCACGGACGUAUAUCACCAAUAUGGUUUCUAUACUGCAGUGGGUUUUGAUCCGUGCUUCUUGAUCCAUCAUUCUGACUUGUAUUUCUUUCAGUUUCGGCCUCACCUCCGUGGUUGCGCAAAACAAUGAAAUCAUCUUUAAAUUUUAAUGGGGAUAUGAAAGUUACUUUGGUUCGAACACCUAUGGGCAUAAUGGGCUGGUUUGUGAAGGCUACUUUGUCGGUUAACUACAACUACUGAUGGUGAUCGUGACGAGGAUGAUGAAAAUUAAGUAUGAGCUAUUGGUUUUGGGUUUUGACGAGUACACUCAGAUCUUUGGAAAGAGUGAACAAACUGACUAUGAACCACGGCAAGAGUUCUGAUGCCUCUGCGGUCGAGCGGAUGCAGAUGAUGAAAUGCAUCUGAAGAGCCUAGUUAUGGUUCCCGUAUGUUAUUUGAUGCAAUGCAUCACCAGCCAGGUCUGAGGUAGCAUAGAGGACAUUUCCUGUGAUUACCAGAACAUAAACAGCACAAUCAUCAUUAUUACCGAUUCAGCUCUUAUCAUACCGAUUCCAUUCUA